AGAGUUGUACGCCUGCUUGUAGCAGUAUGGGGAUACAAUGGGUUCAUAGCUAUUACAAUUAGUGGAAAUGGUCUUAGUGGCCUAACUAAAAGAGUUCCUCGUUUGUUUGCAUUCAACUUUUCCAAAACAAAUAUCGGCGGAACUUCCAAGCACAAAAAGGUAUACCUUGCUAGUGCAUCUGCCACCCGGUUUGCUUCCCUAAAAGUGUGGUGAACUUUUAAUAUAGUAUUUUUCUAUUUUUAAAUCUUUGUGGGGUUAUACUUGCUAAAGUUGGUAAUCCUAAUUCACUUAAACGUCAAAGAAAAUGAUCUCUUCACUAAAAAAAUAUCAAUAUUUUGUUUAUGUUAAGUUCAAUUUAUCAAAUAUACUUUACAUAAAUUUUGUUGGCUUGCAUAAAAUAUUAAACUAUUUUUUCAAACAUGAUAUUGGGCAGAAAUUUCAUGUUGAGUCAACCAAUAAGAAAAUUUUACCAAAUAAAAUAAAAAUAGGAAACUUUGUUCAACGACCAAUUUCGAGUUACAAAGUUUGCCGCUUCAAUUAUUCGGUUUCAAAGGAAUCUUUUGUUGAAUUUCAAGUUAAAGAUGAUAACUUUAGGGAUAAUGAACAUUUUAAACCAAAUUCUAGUGAUGAUUUUGAAGCUGAUGAUAUAGAUUUGGAUAAUUUACCUCUUAUGUUUGGUGAAAAUAAAUCUGGCUGCUGCCGCCGUCUGCUGCAGUUGCGGAUGUCUGCUGGUGCGGCGCGCGACCUGCUGCUGUUGCUGAGGCGGCGCCGGCGCUACCUGCUGCUGCUACUGAGGCGGCGUGGGGACGGGGAUGGGUGGCGUGAGAGAGAGGUGACUUAGGGUUUUCGGAUUUCAAGAUUCAAACGAAUCUAUAUUUGAUCGUAAGUUUUUCAUAGAUUCUUUAAAUAUUUUGAAUUAUUAAUUAUUGUGAAUUAUAGUACGUAGUUUACAAAUAUAUAUAAAUUUCAUUUCAAGAAAUUUGAAAAUUUCAUGCGCAAACUCCCGGUUAUACUUAAAUUGUUUGACUCUCGAAAAACGAAAAGUGUCACAUAAUUGGGAUAGAGAAGUAUUUAUAUUUGAAAACUGACCUCUUGAGGUCGAUUUUAUUAAUUAAAAUUACAUAUAUAUAAAUAUCCUCCUAAUUAUAUAAAUUUAAUUUUAUCGAACAACGAAAAUUUAUUUACUAUAUAAAUCUCCUUGAAUUGAUCAUCGGUAUUCUUUAAUUGAUAAUGUAUUUCAUAUUUGAACCAUUAAUUUAUAAGACUUGAUUUGUUAAACUACUCGACGAGUAUAUAAUCAACCCGAUGAAUUAUCCUUUAUCUUUCAUUGCCUGGGAUAUGAUUAUAGGAGGUGUAGAACUCGAUAGCUUGAUUUAGCGUUUCUUUAAUGCAUAUGUUCGUUUUAACUACAGAUUCAACUAUUCAACUCAUUCGUCCAAACCUAUUGCAUUUGCAGUCGUAUAAACCAACUCACUGCCCUUAUAAUGGAAAUAAACACCAAGACUAGAUAGAUUGCCGAGAGAUCACUAGCACACCAACGAUCACUAAUACUCCCUCCGUCCCAUUUUAUAUGAAGUAGUUUGACUCGGCACGAAGUUUAAAAAAAAAAUGACGACUUUCAAAACUUGUGAUCCAAAAUAAAUGAUAGAAAUUUGUGUGGCUGUAAAUCAUUUCAUUAAGAGUAAAAUAAACACUUCAUAGUUAAAUUGUUACUUAAUAUGAAAAUGUGUCAUUCUUUUUUAGAGGAAAGUAAGUCAUAUAAAAUGGGACAUAGGGAGUACUAAAUUUUGAAUGACACAUCAAACAAGAAGAGGGAUUAAAAUCAAAGUCAUUUAAUUUCUAGCAUCGGCCUCAAAAAAGUUCCAAAUGUAAAAUCAAGGUUUGUCAACUAGAUGACUAAUAGCAAAAUCCAUUACUAGACCAAAAAAAACUUCCUAAAGUAAGCUCAAGGGAUGCGUAGAGAACAAGAUUGUUUUCUUCUAAUCAAAUAGACUGAAGCCCAUAUCCUCAUCUUCUGAUGCCUCUUUCUCCUCCUUCUUUUCUUCCUUCUUCUCCUCAGCAGGGGCUGCAGCAGCUCCACCGGCAGGGGCAGCAACUGCAACAGCACCACCA
rnacentral:lncRNA from 1 species